rnacentral:rRNA from 1 species
CUACGGACGCUCCAGGUAGGAAUCUUUUGCAAUGCGCGCAAGCGUGACAAAGUGAGCCAGAGUGCUUUUCAAAUGAAAAGCUUUUGCCAAAUCUAAAAAUUUUGGCGAAUAAGGACUGGGUAAGACUAGUGCCAGCCGCCGCGGUAAUACUAGCGGUCCAAGUCGCAGCCAUAUUUAUUGGGUCUAAAGCAUACGUAGCUUGUUUAAUAAGUUCCUUGUGAAAUCUUAUCUCUUAAGGAUAAGGCGUGCAGGGAAUACUGUUAUGCUAGAGACUGGAAGACGUAGAAAGUAUGUUCAAAGUAACGGUAAAAUGUGUUAAUCUUGAGCAGACUAACAAUAGCGAAGGCAUUCUACGAGGACAGUUCUGACAGUAAAGGAUGAAGGCUAGGGGCGCAAAACGGAUUAGAUACCCGCGUAGUC